rnacentral:lncRNA from 1 species
CAAAAUUAAAUUUUGCCUUUUAUAUAUAGGUCUAUAUAUAUAUAUAUAUAUAUAUAUUUUAUAUAAAUAUGGCAGAUAUCUUCCGCGAUCAACAUCGAGCAAAUAUUUUUUUGAAAAUUUCGUUGGGCUGUUUAAAGCAUAAUAAAAUCGAAACUGUUGUAUUAAAAGUCAUAAUUUUCGAAUGAAAAAUAACGAGUUUUUAGUUUAUAACUAAUUAUUAUGAGUUAUGAUAUGGGUUGACGUCAUCUGUAGUGAAACGAUGUCGAAUAAAAUCUGACUCACGAAUCUGAGUCAGGAGGUUUGUACUUUCGUACGCCUGGAAAAAAAAAAAAAAAAAAAAGAAAGAAAGCAGACUAAUAGCUUCUACGUUUUGACUUUUCCGUAAAAUAAAAGGGAUUUUUACUCAAUUAAAAUUUUUGUAAUGGGAACUUCACUUGAUGGUAUGUAUAAGAAUAUAAUUGAAAUUUGCUUCAGGAAAAAUUCCCUGAAGGUACGGCUCAAAUAAUAAUUGUUACUCUGUAAAGAGUAAUAAUUUGUUACUCUUUACAAAUUGUUACCCUGUAAAGAGUAACAAUUAAGCUAGUUAAGAGUCCAAAAUUUACGAUUCAAGUACAGAAAGGGCCUUAAUUCCUUCAGGCAUCCUGUAACUUUGAAUAAGAAAACUGAUGGUGUACAAUUUUCCUGGCAUGUCUUCUAUACAUCUACAAAUACAAUUCAGGUCAGACUUAUAUCCCCGGAACUUAAGUUGUACGAGUAUUUUAAGUAUAAAGAUCCCUUCGGGGCGCCGAUUAAUUGUAUUAAAAAUGGCUUUUUACCUUUUGGUACACCAACUCACUAAAGCGUGUGUUUGCCACAUGCAAAUGCAUGAAGGCUAUACAUGUCAUUGAAAGAUUCUGCCCGUAAAAUUAUAGAAGCAACUUUGUUCCCUGAAGAAUUCUUAAAAUUACAAUUGGUAAACUGGUCACGUUUGCUUUUUGAGAAGGCGUAACUGGACAGCUAGUUAUAUCCCGUGUUAGCUGCAGUUAACACCAGCGAAAAAAAACCGAGUAUAAACACUUUCUUUAUAAUGUAAUACUAUAUAUUCCUUCGAAAGAAACCUACGUUUAUGACCUCUGACCUUUUUAAAUUAAUAGCGUGGUAGUACAUAAGAAAUAUUUCGAAAUUAAGUUAAUAAAUAGAUAGUUUAACUGUUCAAUUUUACAUUUUUUUUUAGAUUGAAGUAACUGAUAGUUCUUUAAUCCUCAAGGAAAAUAUAUAAAAUACUCUGGUAAGAAUUUAGCAUAAGAGGCUGUCGAAAAAUCUUCAGUGGAGAUCUAGCAAAAUAGUUGUGUUAACUUAUCAGCUUAUAAAUUAAGCUUAAGAACUGAUAAAAUCAAGAAAAUAUCCCCAGAACAGCGAAAAAACAUGAGCUGUCUUCUUUUCUCUUUCAGUGAUUCUGGUAGUUAGAAAAAUUAUUCGUCUACUUUGUAUUUUUUUUUAUAUAAUAUUCAGAGAUUUUUCAAUGACAUUUUCUUUAGCAUCAAUUGCAUUAUUAAGCAGCA